AGUAAGGAGGAAAGGGGAGCACAGAGCAUGGUAGGCUCCAUGCAGCUCUUUUGUCUAAGAUGAAUCUAGCUCCAAAAGGGUGCAUCCAGGAAUUCAAUGUUUUCUGGGCAAAUACAUGAUCCACAACCUCCUCACUUCAUUUGCAUUAAAAAAGAACAAGGAUGAAAACUGAUACCAGAUUCACUUUCAGCAGUGAUGAAGAGUUUGCAAAUUGGACACAGUUGGCUUCUGGGCUUUACUUGAUUUUUUUAAUUGACUUUUGUUGUUUGCAAGACCUGGAAAGCAUCUGAAAUGGACAGAAACAAUGCCCUUGAAAUGCACUGGCCACUUGGAGCUUGAGCAACUAUUAGGGGGAGAAAAAUUAAACAGCAGAAUGGUUGCAAGCUUCCCGAAGAAACUAGAGAAACUUAAACAGGGGUAGUGAAGAAGAGCCUGACACCAGACCUGCUGGGACACCUCUCUCUGGAAGCAACACUGCUGGACAUCCUAAGGCCACUGAUGUCCUUGGCCCUAAGUAGAGGUCUCCUUAAACUGACUCCCAUUUGCCAUUAUCAAAGCAACAAUAACAAAGGGUGUUAAGACAAAAGCAGAACCUUUCUGUCUGAAAGACCCUGGCAGAUGACAACUCCCCUGUUCCUCCCCACCAUGUUGUGUCGUCUUUCAAAUUUCAACAAGGUGGGGGAAAGAGAGAGACAGAGACAGGGAGACUGAGAAACAGAGACAGAGGAAAAAAAGUGAGAGGGGAAGGGAGGGAGGGGGAGGACGUGUCAGAGGGAGAGAGGGAAGGAGGGAAGGAAGAAGGGAAGGAUUCAAAGUCUGACCUGCCUUCCAGAUGGUCAGGAGCUACUCCUAGUGAGUUUCUCUUCAGCUGAGCAUCCAGUCUGUAAGAGAAACAAAUUCCAAUUAGAAGUCUCUUACUAUAUUUCAUAUCAUAUUUGCUACAUGUAAAUCUUCCAAAUAGUUUCUCUAUUUUGGCAAACCCUUAUUUCACAUUUAUUAAGACAAAGUGCUGUUGAAGGGCUCUGACACUGGCUGGUAACUUCUGUCUGUCCACAGGUGUCAUAUUUUAUGCAGGAAGAAAGGUAUUCUUCUGUCACUGUCUAUGCAGAACUAUGGAUGCCUGGAAAUAGAUGACUUUUGACUGCUGAUCAGAAUCAUGCUUUAAUCAGUUACUGGUCUGUGAUCAAUAAUUAAUCACACUAUUCUGUCUAGGUAAUAAAUAAUGGGGAAAAUAGCAAUGAAUAUAUAGUUGGUCAGAUUCUCCCUGGGGCAGAACAGAGAAGGACCAACAUGAAAGGCUGCCUAGAUCGCCCUGUAGACUUUCAACGAACAGCUUAAGUGGAAAUUCCAGUAUGGAUAGGUCUGUUAGUAAAUGAAGAGUUGUCACCAACAGUUCUUUUCAGACCCCUCAGAACUAAAUAGUCCUUCCUGGACCAAGUCUCCCUGUGAAAACAAAUGAAGAAUUGGCUGAGAGUACUGUAGGAUAUGCUGUGCCUCUACUAUCAGACCUCUUCCUUUGGAGGGAGAAGCACCUGGGUGGCAACAGGAGUUCAGACCUAAAUCUAAAACAAUGUAUUUUAUAUUGUAAUGUGUAUAGGUUGAAAAGUGUAGGCUAUUAUAAUCUCAUACACUGGGUCCUACAAGAGUAUAUAGACCUAACCAUUUAAAAGUGUGAUUAUGGAAUAUUAUCAUAGAAAGAAUAAUUAUGUUAGUUCUCUAUUGUUGGUAGAAAAUGACCUCAGAAGCAGUAACUUAAAACAGUAUACAAUAAUAAUCUCAGUAUUUGCCAGCCAGAGAUCUGGGAACACUAGCUGGAGAGCUCCUAAGCAGGGGCUCGUGGAUCUACAGUCACAGUGUCAGAGAGAGGGGGUUCCUGGGGAUUGGCAGAAUCCAGUUGCUUGCAUUUGUGUGGCUAGCUUAUCUGUUGCCCUUAAGAGUCAUUCCUUACCCUUUGCAAUGAGCAUUAGAAUAGGGAUGGUGAGAAGAGACUGUCACAGGAGGCAGCAGAGUAGAUUUAACAUGCUUUGGUACUGUUGGCAUCAACAGAGUUUAAUGGGAUUUUUUUUUAACAGCUUAGGUUUUUCUAAGGGCAAAAGUACUGAGCUAUCUUUUCAAACAUGUGGCCACACUUAAGUUUUACUUAUAUUUUUGCAACCUGCUAAUACAGAUGACAAAGUCCUAUAUUUAGUCUACAAUAAUGUUAAUAGUAUUUUUUUAAUCUGAGAAUUACAGUACUUUAAAAAUAAUAUAUUCUUCAUUGUAUUAUUUUACCUGUGUUAGUAUUAAAAAGAUCACUUGUAAAGUGAUAUUAGCAAAUUGCCUAAUCAGUUUAAAUGAUCUGUUUUGAAUCAGGAGUUACAGUUUAUUUUUUUUUUAUUAAAUGUUUCCUUCUUAAGACGUCAACCUUCAUACAUUCUGAGGAAGUAGAGCCAAACUCUGAAGAAGUGCUCUAAUAAAUGUGACACCUUC
ensembl:lincRNA Gm10466 predicted gene 10466